GAUGAACGCUGGCGGCGUGCCUAAUACAUGCAAGUCGAGCGAACGGACGCGAAGCUUGCUUCUCUGAUGUUAGCGGCGGACGGGUGAGUAACACGUGGAUACCCUACCUAUAAUACUGGGAUAACUUCGGGACACCGGAGCUAAUACCGGAUAAUAUUUUGCACCGCAUGGUUCAAAAGUGAAAGACGGUCUUUCUGUCACUUCUAGAUGGAUCCGCGCUUGAUUAGCUAGUUGGUAGGGUAACGGCUUACCAAGGCAACGAUGCAUAGACGACCUGAGAGGGGGAUCGGCGACACUAGAGCGGAGACAGGGUCCAGACUCCUACGGGAGGCAGCAGUAGGGAAUCUGCGGCAAUGGGCGAAAGCCUGACGGAGCAACGCCGCGUGAGAGAUGAAGGUCUUCGGAGCGUAAAACUCUGUUAUUAGGGAAGAACAUAUGUGGAAGUAAAUGUGCACAGCGUGACGGUAACGGAUCAGAAAGCAACGGCUAACUACGUG
rnacentral:rRNA from 1 species